rnacentral:lncRNA from 1 species
GGAAGCACGCCGGCGCGAUUCCGACCGAGGGAGCCGGGAGGAGGAGCCGGAGGUGGCUGCGGGGGGCUCUGGCCCAGGCGAAGGAAGGGCAAGAGACGCUACGAAUCACCGAGCUGACCCCCUCUCGUCCUUUGGCCUGGAGAAGAGAGAGUCUCAGGGCUCGGAGAUAAGCGGGAAGGCACCGGAGGGAGCCACAAGUCUGCACCCAGGCGGGGAGGAGGCGGGCAGGAGCCGCUCCGCAGGCGCAGGUGUGUGAGUCCCAGGCUCGGGCCGCCACUUGCCUACAUCUACCCAGUACCACCUAGGGCGCAGGGGCGGAGGCGAAGGGUAAGGGACUGCAGAACCGUCCCCGGAGCGGGACGCGAACCAGCAGAGUUGGGAGAAGGUAAACAAGGGCCACGCCCCCUGCCGUCGCCCCGCGGGCGCGCACCCGCCGCUCGGGCUGCUGCCGGUACAUUUCCACUCCCAGCGCUUCUCCCCCGCUGGACUCCCGCGCAGCCUUGGAGGGGGGGCUGCCCCAGACCCCAGCCCGCGCCCCUCGCGCUGGGACUACGCACCUUCCAUACUCACCUGGAAAGGGUAUCCCCUGCCCCUCCGAAAAACUGCUUAAUUUGUGCAAAGCCCCCGCGCCCGGGAGCUGAGCAUGCUGCCCCCGCGUGCAGAGCCCGCGUGCACCCAGCCCAGAGAGGGGGCGACAGGGCGGAGGCGGUGGCCCCCGGAAGGUGUCUGGGACCGGACCGGCUGCACGUGAGCCCAGCGCGGGGUCAUGUGCACCGGCUCAGCCCGGUUCGGCGCCCGGACGUGCUGCGUAUCAACAAAAUGAAACUCGGGGAGACAGGAGGGCAGAAAGCUCCGGGUCCUCCGAACCCCCAUCCCCGGCCGCUCGAUCUCCUCUCCGCACCGGUCUCCCGCCGCAGCCCCUCCGCCCUGCCAGAGCCCGCGGGGCAAGUUGCAGCCCUGGCGCGCCCCCGCCCGCCCGCGCCCCCUCCCCGGCCCAGGGGCGCUUUGCCGCAGUCAUUAAUAAAGAAGGUCGCCAAGCUCACCCUUCCAAAAGUUGUUGUUGCAUGCGCCCCUCUCAGCCUCCCCGCAAUGUACUCUUUAAAACACGACUGA